rnacentral:rRNA from 1 species
UACGUAGGGUGCGAGCGUUAAUCGGAAUUACUGGGCGUAAAGCGUGCGCAGGCAGUAAGUUAAGUCUGAUCUGAAAGCCCCGGGCUCAACCUGGGAAUGGCAUUGGAAACUGGCUUGCUAGAGUGUGGCAGAGGGGGGUGGAAUUCCGCGUGUAGCAGUGAAAUGCGUAGAGAUGCGGAGGAACACCGAUGGCGAAGGCAGCCCCCUGGGCCAACACUGACGCUCAGGCACGAAAGCGUGGGGAGCAAACAGG